AUACGUAGGGGGCGAGCGUUGUCCGGAAUGAUUGGGCGUAAAGGGCGCGUAGGCGGCCGAGUAAGUCUGGAGUGAAAGUCCUGUUUUUAAGAUGGGAAUUGCUUUGGAUACUGUCGGGCUUGAGUGCAGGAGAGGUAAGUGGAAUUCCCAGUGUAGCGGUGAAAUGCGUAGAGAUUGGGAGGAACACCAGUGGCGAAGGCGACUUACUGGACUGUAACUGACGCUGAGGCGCGAAAGUGUGGGGAGCAAACAGGAUUAGAUACCCUGGUAGUCCACACUGUAAACGAUGAAUGCUAGGUGUAGGGGGUAUCGACCCCUUCUGUGCCGCAGUCAACACAAUAAGCAUUCCGCCUGGGGAGUACGGCCGCAAGGUUGAAACUCAAAGGAAUUGACGGGG
rnacentral:rRNA from 1 species